rnacentral:tRNA from 1 species
GGGUGUGUAUCUCAGUGGUAGAUGGCAUGCCUUGCAUGCAUGAGGUCCUGGGUUCAGUCCCUGGCACCUCCA